CCUGCCCCUAGAGGCGGUGCAGAUGUGGCUGCUAUGUCACAUGUGUGUCAGUAGGUGGCAGAGAGGAGAGAGGCUAUACCUAUGAUCAGUGUUCUAACCUGUGAACAUCUAAAUGAUUAGUAGCCUUGAGAU